rnacentral:rRNA from 1 species
GUGGGGAAUCUUCCGCAAUGGACGAAAGUCUGACGGAGCAACGCCGCGUGAGUGAAGAAGGUUUUCGGAUCGUAAAGCUCUUUCGUUAGGGACGAACGUGCUCUUUGUGAAUAAUGAGGAGUAAUGACGGUACCUAAAUAAGAAGCCACGGCUAACUACGUGCCAGCAGCCGCGGUAAUACGUAGGUGGCAAGCGUUGUCCGGAAUUAUUGGGCGUAAAGCGCGCGCAGGCGGGAUAUCAAGUCUGUCUUAAAAGUGCGAGGCUCAACCUCGUGAGGGGACAGAAACUGGGAUUCUUGAGUGUCGGAGAGGAAAGUGGAAUUCCAAGUGUAGCGGUGAAAUGCGUAGAGAUUUGGAAGAACACCAGUGGCGAAGGCGACUUUCUGGACGAUGUCUGACGCUGAGGCGCGAAAGCUAGGGGAGCGAACGGGAUUAGAAACCCCAGUAGUCC